UGAGCGUAAGUACGUAGGAGGGCGGAGCCAGGCUAGCCUUUAAGGCCCUAAGCUAAUUAAAUAAGUAACUGGGCUUACUGGUGCAUUCAAAACAACUCGACUUGAACGCAGCAUACCUUAGUGAGACAGUUCAAGCUCCACCUCUGAGUCGCUGUCUGUGGCAGAAGAGAGAGACAGCCAUGCUUAUAAGCGCAGACUAAAACCAACUAUGCAUCACAUGACGGAUGUCGAAGCGACUUCAACUCAUCUGAUAGAGCCGUGGUUGUACCUCAUACGAAGAAGGUCUCGGUUCUUCUGAGCAUUACAAAUGCAUAGAGUUCACAUCAACGAUCCAUACAGAGUCCCAUCCACCUCUCCUGAUUUCUACUCACGUCACACAACUAUCGGUACUUUACUAAAUCAACACCACUGACAUUUGCAUAUGAAGACUUUGUUAAGCCUGUUCAUAUUUGCAUUUUCAUAAAGGAUGUUCACAACAUAAUCAGACAUGAGGAUAUGCAUAUGUAGACAUGUGAUUUACAUACAAUGCAUUGCACAUGAACCAUAUAAUGCCCACAUUAGCAGAGGUGACAACUGUUACGCUUCCCACUUAUAUUCUGUUAUAUUCAUAUUUUAAAUAUACUGUAGAUACACUGCAACAAUAAUGACAACCAUCUCCCAACCGUCAGCUGCUAAAACAUAUAUACGUUUAUUUGUGAGAUAGACUCUGAGAAAAUGAGGUCAAGAAAAUGAGCUGUCUAGAAAUUUAAAAUGUGACCCAUUAACUUGAUGUAGAAUAAAGUGACAUAUGAGCUCCCAAAUGAA